AGGUGUUGUGGCUUAGCUGGUUAAAGUGCCUGUCUACUAAACAGGAGAUCCUGGGUUCAAAUCCCAGCAGGCUUU